AUUGAACGCUGGCGGCAGGCCUAACACAUGCAAGUCGAACGAGUGGCGGAAGGGUGAGUAAUGUCUGGGAAACUGCCCGAUGGAGGGGGAUAACUACUGGAAACGGUAGCUAAUACCGCAUACCAACGGACGUGACCAGAAGGGAUUAGCCAGUAGGUGGGGUAACGGCUCACCUAGGAGACGAUCCCUAGCUGGUCUGAGAGGAUGACCAGCCACACUUGAACUGAGCCACGGUCCAGACUCCUACGGGAGGCAGCAGUGGGGAAUAUUGCACCAUGGGCGCAAGCCUGAUACAGCCAUGCCGCGUGUAUGAAGAAGGCCUUCGGGUUGUAAAGUACUUUCAGCUAGGAGGCGUUACUCGCAGAAGAAGCACCGGCUAACUCCGUGCCAGCCGCCGCGGUAAUAC
rnacentral:rRNA from 1 species